ACUAACAACAUCAACAACAACUAACAACUUCAACAACUUCAACACAAAUCCAAUCUUUUCUCAAAUCAUAAAAAUGAGCUUGGUGUGUGGGGGAAAGGAUCAAACCACACAAAGAACUCACAUACCUUGAUAGGGAUCACCCCCGACGAAAAUCCACGACGGAAACUUGUUGAUCUCCUUUCUCCUCUUCUUCUCCUCUUUUUCUCUUCUUCUUCUCUUCUUCACUCUCAAGACCC
rnacentral:lncRNA from 1 species